GCCUUCGGGUUGUAAACUCUUUUCAGUACCGACGAAGCGCAAGUGACGGUAGGUACAGAAGAAGCACCGGCCAACUACGUGCCAGCAGCCGCGGUAAUACGUAGGGUGCGAGCGUUGUCCGGAAUUACUGGGCGUAAAGAGCUCGUAGGUGGUUUGUCGCGUUGUCCGUGAAAUCCCACGGCUUAACUGUGGGCGUGCGGGCGAUACGGGCAGACUGGAGUACUGCAGGGGAGACUGGAAUUCCUGGUGUAGCGGUGGAAUGCGCAGAUAUCAGGAGGAACACCGGUGGCGAAGGCGGGUCUCUGGGCAGUAACUGACGCUGAGGAGCGAAAGCGUGGGGAGCGAACAGGAUUAGAUACCCUGGUAGUCCACGCCGUAAACGGUGGGUACUAGGUGUGGGUUUCCUUCCUUGGGAUCCGUGCCGUAGCUAACGCAUUAAGUACCCCGCCUGGGGAGUACGGCCGCAAGGCUAAAACUCAAAGGAAUUGACGGGGGCCCGCACAAGCGGCGGAGCAUGUGGAUUAAUUCGAUGCAACGCGAAGAACCUUACCUGGGUUUGACAUGCACAGGACGCCGGCAGAGAUGUCGGUUCCCUUGUGGCCUGUGUGCAGGUGGUGCAUGGCUGUCGUCAGCUCGUGUCGUGAGAUGUUGGGUUAAGUCCCGCAACGAGCGCAACCCUUGUCUCAUGUUGCCAGCACGUUAUGGUGGGGACUCGUGAGAGACUGCCGGGGUCAACUCGGAGGAAGGUGGGGAUGACGUCAAGUCAUCAUGCCCCUUAUGUCCAGGGCUUCACACAUGCUACAAUGGCCGGUACAAAGGGCUGCGAUGCCGUGAGGUGGAGCGAAUCCUUGUUAAAGCCGGUCUCAGUUCGGAUCGGGGUCUGCAACUCGACCCCGUGAAGUCGGAGUCGCUAGUAAUCGCAGAUCAGCAACGCUGCGGUGAAUACGUUCCCGGGCCUUGUACACACCGCCCGUCACGUCAUGAAAGUCGGUAACACCCGAAGCCGGUGGCCUAACCCUUGUGGAGGGAGCCGUCGAAGGUGGGAUCGGCGAUUGGGACG
rnacentral:rRNA from 1 species